CAUAUUUUUAAAACUAACUUCCGGAUUACCAGCAAGACUAAUAAUACCUCCAUUUAGUUAAGCACAAAUGGCUGGAAGGAGAUCACAUGUAUUUUGGUCCAUCGUUAAUAAUUCAGAUCAACUUUAAUUUGGAGUCUCAAUCAAUCAAUAUUGUUUGAUGAUUUAUAAUUAUCAUAGUCGACUCUGAUUCGCUUGAUGGAUACAUUU
rnacentral:snoRNA from 1 species